UAGAGUUUGAUCAUGGCUCAGAUUGAACGCUGGCGGCAGGCCUAACACAUGCAAGUCGAGCGGAAACGAGUUAUCUGAACCUUCGGGGAACGAUAACGGCGUCGAGCGGCGGACGGGUGAGUAAUGCCUAGGAAAUUGCCCUGAUGUGGGGGAUAACCAUUGGAAACGAUGGCUAAUACCGCAUAACGCCUACGGGCCAAAGAGGGGGACCUUCGGGCCUCUCGCGUCAGGAUAUGCCUAGGUGGGAUUAGCUAGUUGGUGAGGUAAGGGCUCACCAAGGCGACGAUCCCUAGCUGGUCUGAGAGGAUGAUCAGCCACACUGGAACUGAGACACGGUCCAGACUCCUACGGGAGGCAGCAGUGGGGAAUAUUGCACAAUGGGCGCAAGCCUGAUGCAGCCAUGCCGCGUGUGUGAAGAAGGCCUUCGGGUUGUAAAGCACUUUCAGUCGUGAGGAAGGUGGUAGUGUUAAUAGCACUAUCAUUUGACGUUAGCGACAGAAGAAGCACCGGCUAACUCCGUGCCAGCAGCCGCGGUAAUACGGAGGGUGCGAGCGUUAAUCGGAAUUACUGGGCGUAAAGCGCAUGCAGGUGGUUUGUUAAGUCAGAUGUGAAAGCCCGGGGCUCAACCUCGGAAUAGCAUUUGAAACUGGCAGACUAGAGUACUGUAGAGGGGGGUAGAAUUUCAGGUGUAGCGGUGAAAUGCGUAGAGAUCUGAAGGAAUACCGGUGGCGAAGGCGGCCCCCUGGACAGAUACUGACACUCAGAUGCGAAAGC
rnacentral:rRNA from 1 species